rnacentral:rRNA from 1 species
AGAGUUUGAUCAUGGCUCAGGAUGAACGCUGGCGGCAUGCCUAAGACAUGCAAGUCGUACGAAGGGGCCCAAUGAAAGGAAUUGAAAUUCAGAGUGCUUGCACAAAGAAUGGAUUUUCUUGGAUUUGGAUUUUCCCCUUAGUGGCAAACGGGUGAGUAACACGUGGGUUACCUACCUCUAAGAUGGGGAUAACAGUUGGAAACGACUGAUAAUACCGAAUGUGCUCUACGGAGUAAAGAAGCCCUUAAAGCUUCGCUUAGAGAUGGGCCUGCGGCGUAUUAGCUAGUUGGUGGGGUAAUGGCCUACCAAGGCGACGAUGCGUAGCCGAACUGAGAGGCUGAUCGGCCACACUGGGACUGAGACACGGCCCAGACUCCUACGGGAGACAGCAGUUAGGAAUAUUCGUCAAUGGAGGAAACUCUGAACGAGCAAUGCCGCGUGAACGAUGACGGCCCUAUGGGUUGUAAAGUUCUGUUGUUUGGAAAGAACGAUAGAUAGAGGAAAUGCUAUCUAUGUGACGGUACCAUUCAAGAAAGCCACGGCUAACUACGUGCCAGCAGCCGCGGUAAUACGUAGGUGGCGAGCGUUAUCCGGAUUUAUUG